rnacentral:tRNA from 1 species
UCCCUGGUGGUCUGGUGGUUAAGACCCUGCACUUCCAAUGCAGGAGGUGCAGGUCUGAUUCCUGGUCAGGGAA